GACGAACGCUGGCGGCGCGCCUAACACAUGCAAGUCGAACGGAGAAGCGGAGCUUGCUCUUCGGAACAGUGGCGGACGGGUGAGUAACACGUGAGCAAACUGGCUCUAUGAGGGGGACAACAGUUGGAAACGACUGCUAAUACCGCAUGACGUAUCGGGAUGGCAUCUUCCUGAUAUCAAAGAUUUUAUCGCUUAGAGAUGGGCUCGCGUCUGAUUAGAUAGUUGGCGGGGUAACGGCCCACCAAGUCGACGAUCAGUAGCCGGACUGAGAGGUUGAACGGCCACACUGGGACUGAGACACAGCCCAGACUCCUACGGAAAGGAGCAGUGGGGGAUAUUGGACAAUGGAGGCAACCCUGAUCCAGCGACGCCGCGUGAGGGAAGAAGGUUUUCGGAUUGUAAUCCUCUGUUGACGGAGAAAAAAAUGAUGGUAUCCGUUUAGAAAGCCACGGCUAACUACGUG
rnacentral:rRNA from 1 species